rnacentral:pre_miRNA from 1 species
UGAUGAUCAUGAUCAUGAUGAUGAUCAUGAUCAUGAUGAUGAUCAUGAUCAUGAUGAUGAUCAUCAUCAUGAUCAUCAUCAUGAUCAUGAUCAUCA